UGUGUGUGUGUGUGUAGGUUCUCCUCUGUGCGUCUAACCAGAGCGGCAGUAUUGUAGAGUGUUGGUCUCUGAGGAAGGAGGGACUUCCUGUCAACAACAUCUUCCAGCAUCGUUCACCAGUUGUGGGAGAGAAGCAGCCCACCAUCUUGAAGUGGAGGAUAUUGACGACCACUAACGACCUGGAACGAGUCUCAGCUGUCGCUCUGCCCAAACUGCCCAUCUCCAUCUCCAACACCGACCUGAAGGUGGCGUCAGACACCAAGUUCUGUCCCGGACUUGGUCUGGCUCUGGCUUUUCAUGAUGGCAGUAUUCAGAUCCUCCACCGUCUGUCUCUUCACACCAUGGGCGUUUUCUACGGCUCCUCCUCCUCAUCCAGUCAGCGACCCGGAGACGAGUCCGCCAUCAAGCGACAGAGAACCGGAGGUCCUGCGCUCCACUUCAAGGCCCUUCAGUUCUCCUGGACGUCUCUGGCGCUGACUGGUGUCGAUAACCACGGAAAG